GAUGAACGCUGGCGGCGUGCCUAAUACAUGCAAGUCGAGCGAACAGAUGAGGAGCUUGCUCCUCUGACGUUAGCGGCGGACGGGUGAGUAACACGUGGAUAACCUACCUAUAAGACUGGUAUAACUUCGGGACACCGGAGCUAAUCCCGUAUAAUAUAUUGAACCGCAUGGUUCAAUAGUGAAAGACGGUUUUGCUGUCACUUCUAGAUGGAUCCGCGCCGCAUUAGCUAGUUGGUAAGGUAACGGCUUACCAAGGCAACGAUGCGUAGCCGACCUGAGAGGGUGAUCGGCCACACUGGAACUGAGACACGGUCCAUACGCCUACGGGAGGCAGCAGUAGGGAAUCUGCCGCAAUGGGCGAAAGCCUGACGGAGCAACGCCGCGUGAGUGAUGAAGGUCUUCCGAUCGUAAAACUCUGUUAUUAGGGAAGAACAAAUGUGUAAGUAACUAUGCACGUCUUGACGGUACCUAAUCAGAAAGCCACGGCUAACUACGUG
rnacentral:rRNA from 1 species